UCACCUACGGGAGGCAGCAGUGGGGAAUAUUGCGCAAUGGGCGAAAGCCUGAACCAGCCAAGUCGCGUGAGGGAGUACUGCCCUAUGGGUUGUAAACCUCUUUUGUCGGGGAGCAAAAGCCGGACGUGUCCGGCUGUGAGAGUACCCGAAGAAAAAGCAUCGGCUAACUCCGUGCCAGCAGCCGCGGUAAUACGGAGGAUGCGAGCGUUAUCCGGAUUUAUUGGGUUUAAAGGGUGCGCAGGCGGAUUUUUAAGUCAGCGGUCAACUCGUGGGGCUCAACCCCAUCCAGCCGUUGAAACUGGGGG
rnacentral:rRNA from 1 species